rnacentral:rRNA from 1 species
AGAACGAACGCUGGCGGCAGGCCUAACACAUGCAAGUCGAACGCCUGUAGCAAUACAGGAGUGGCAGACGGGUGAGUAACACGUGGGAACGUGCCCAAAGGUACGGAACAACUCCGGGAAACUGGAGCUAAUACCGUAUGUGCCCGAAAGGGGAAAGAUUUAUCGCCUUUGGAUCGGCCCGCGUCUGAUUAGCUAGUUGGUGAGGUAAUGGCUCACCAAGGCGACGAUCAGUAGCUGGUCUGAGAGGAUGACCAGCCACACUGGGACUGAGACACGGCCCAGACUCCUACGGGAGGCAGCAGUGGGGAAUAUUGGACAAUGGGCGCAAGCCUGAUCCAGCCAUGCCGCGUGAGUGAUGAAGGCCCUAGGGUUGUAAAGCUCUUUCGCCAGGGACGAUAAUGACGGUACCUGGAUAAGAGCCCGGCUAACUUCGUGCCAGCAGCCGC